rnacentral:rRNA from 1 species
GACGAACGCUGGCGGCGUGCUUAACACAUGCAAGUCGAGCGGUAAGGCCCUUUCGGGGUACGACGAGCGGCGAACGGGUGGAGUAACACGUGGGUGGACCUCGCCCUCCAGCUCUGGGAGUAAGCCUGGGAAACCGGGUACUAAUACCGGAUAUGACUCCAUGACGCAUGUUGUGGGGUGGAAAGCCUUGUGCGGCUGAGGAUGGGCCCGCGGCCUAUCAGCUUGUUGGUGGGGUGAUGGCCUACCAAGGCGACGACGGGUAGCCGGCCUGAGAGGGCGACCAGCCACACUGGGACUGAGACACGGCCCAGACUCCUACGGGAGGGCAGCAGGUGGGGAAUCUUGCGCAAUGGGCGAAAGCCUGACGCAGCGACGCCGCGUGA